rnacentral:rRNA from 1 species
GUCUACAGCCAUACUACCCUGAACGUCCCGAUAUUGUCUGAUCUCAGAAGUUAAGCAGGGUCGGGCUUGGUUAGUACUUGGAUGGGAGACCACCUAGGAAGACCAGGCUGUAUAGGCA